AUUGAACGCUGGCGGCAUGCUUUACACAUGCAAGUCGAACGGCAGCACGAGGAGUUUACUCUUUGGUGGCGAGUGGCGAACGGGUGAGUAACGCAUCGGAACGUGCCCAGUAGUGGGGGAUAACUGAUCGAAAGAUUAGCUAAUACCGCAUGAGACCUAUGGGGGAAAGCAGGGAUUUUCGGAUCCUUGCGCUAUUGGAGCGGCCGAUGUCAGAUUAGGUAGUUGGUGGGUAAAGGCCUACCAAGCCGACGAUCUGUAGCUGGUCUGAGAGGAUGAUCAGCCACACUGGGACUGAGACACGGCCCAGACUCCUACGGGAGGCAGCAGUGGGGAAUUUUGGACAAUGGGGGAAACCCUGAUCCAGCCAUGCCGCGUGAACGAAGACGGUCUUCGGAUUGUAAAGUUCUGUCAACGGGGACGAUAAUGACGGUACCCGUGGAGGAAGCCACGGCUAACUACGUGCCAGCCGCCGCGGUAAC
rnacentral:rRNA from 1 species